UACGAAGGGGGCUAGCGUUGUUCGGAUUUACUGGGCGUAAAGCGCACGUAGGCGGAUCGUUAAGUUAGGGGGUGAAAUCCUGGAGCUCAACUCCAGAACUGCCUCUAAUACUGGCGAUCUAGAGUCCGGAAGAGGUGAGUGGAACUCCUAGUGUAGAGGUGGAAUUCGUAGAUAUUAGGAAGAACACCAGUGGCGAAGGCGGCUCACUGGUCCGGUACUGACGCUGAGGUGCGAAAGCGUGGGGAGCAAACAGG
rnacentral:rRNA from 1 species